GGGGCUAGGAGCAGGUGAAUGGCAUGAUCUGACUCCAGGGCUAGGUCAUUAACAACACUUGGGUUGUGCCUUGUUCUCUUUGAGAGGUGGAGGGAGAAGCAGACUCCCCACUGAGCAGGGAGCCUAAUGCAGGGCUCAAUCCCAGACCUUGGGAUCAUGACCUGAGCUGAAUGCAGACGUUCAACCACUAAGCCACCCCGGUGCUCCUGAUCACUCAAUUUAGGGGAAGGAUACUCAAGCAAUUCCACAGAGAAGUCCACAUGGCCAGUAACUGAGGCCUUCUGCUAAGAGCCAGAAUGAACUUGCCAAUCAUACUUCUGAGAAGCCAUCACCGUGCUUUGAAACCUCUUCUGUUUGUUCUCUUUAUAGAGCUUUUUAAGGCAGAUAUAUAGAACAUCAUAAACAGAUGAGCUUAAAUGAGUGAAA